CCUGCAUGGCACCACCGUAGGCUGACUCCCCACAGGUCCGUCGUGCAGGAACCCGGUGUGAGACCGGGGCGGUUCCGCCACUGUGAUCCGGGCCACGCAGAUCGGGCCGGAGAGCCAGACACUGCUCACGGACGCACCGCCGAU
rnacentral:ncRNA from 2 species